rnacentral:rRNA from 1 species
UACGGAGGGAGCUAGCGUUGUUCGGAUAUACUGGGCGUAAAGCGCACGUAGGCGGCGCAGCAAGUCAGGGGUGAAAUCCCGGAGCUCAACUCCGGAACUGCCUUUGAAACUGCAGUGCUAGAAUCCUGGAGAGGCGAGUGGAAUUCCGAGUGUAGAGGUGAAAUUCGUAGAUAUUCGCAAGAACACCAGUGGCGAAGGCGGCUGACUGGUCCGGUUCUGACGCUGAGGCGCGAAAGCGUGGGGAGCAAACAGG